AUUGAACGCUGGCGGCAGGCCUAACACAUGCAAGUCGAGCGGAUGAAGGGAGCUUGCUCCUGGAUUCAGCGGCGGACGGGUGAGUAAUGCCUAGGAAUCUGCCUGGUAGUGGGGGAUAACGUCCGGAAACGGGCGCUAAUACCGCAUACGUCCUGAGGGAGAAAGUGGGGGAUCUUCGGACCUCACGCUAUCAGAUGAGCCUAGGUCGGAUUAGCUAGUUGGUGGGGUAAAGGCCUACCAAGGCGACGAUCCGUAACUGGUCUGAGAGGAUGAUCAGUCACACUGGAACUGGGACACGGUCCAGACUCCUACGGGAGGCAGCAGUGGGGAAUAUUGGACAAUGGGCGAAAGCCUGAUCCAGCCAUGCCGUGUGUGUGAAGAAGGUCUUCGGAUUGUAAAGCACUUUAAGUUGGGAGGAAGGGCAGUAAGUUAAUACCUUGCUGUUUUGACGUUACCAACAGAAUAGGCACCGGCUAACUUCGUG
rnacentral:rRNA from 1 species